UACGGAGGGGGCGAGCGUUAUUCGGAAUUAUUGGGCGUAAAGGGCGCGUAGGCGGCCCGGUAAGUCAAAGGUGAAAUCCCUCGGCUCAACUGAGGAACUGCCUUUGAAACUGUCGGGCUUGAGGCCGGGAGGGGGUAGCGGAAUUCCCAGUGUAGCGGUGAAAUGCGUAGAUAUUGGGAGGAACACCGGUGGCGAAGGCAGAUCUCUGGGCCGUAACUGACGCUGAGGAGCGAAAGCAUGGGGAGCGAACAGG
rnacentral:rRNA from 1 species